rnacentral:rRNA from 1 species
AACGAACGCUGGCGGCAGGCCUAACACAUGCAAGUCGAGCGAGAACUUCGGUUCUAGCGGCGGACGGGUUAGUAACGCGUGGGAAUGUACCCUUCUCUACGGAAUAGCCUCGGGAAACUGAGAGUAAUACCGUAUACGCCCUUCGGGGGAAAGAUUUAUCGGAGAAGGAUCAGCCCGCGUUAGACUAGAUAGUUGGUGGGGUAACGGCCUACCAAGUCGACGAUCUAUAGCUGGUUUUAGAGGAUGAUCAGCAACACUGGGACUGAGACACGGCCCAG